rnacentral:rRNA from 1 species
GACGAACGCUGGCGGCGUGCUUAACACAUGCAAGUCGAACGAAGUGGCGAACGGGUGAGUAACGCGUAAUCAACCUGCCCUUCAGAGGGGGACAACAGUUGGAAACGACUGCUAAUACCGCAUACUGAAGGAGGGGAUUGCGUCUGAUUAGCUAGUUGGAGGGGUAACGGCCCACCAAGGCGAGGAUCAGUAGCCGGUCUAGGAGGAUGACCGGCCAAAUGGGAACUGAGACACGGCCAAGAUCCCUACGGGAGGCAGCAGUGGGGAACUUCCGGAAAGGGACGAAAGCCUGACGGAGAAAGGCCGCGUGAGUGAGAACGGCCUUCGGUUUGUAAAGUUUUUUUAUCGGGGAGGCGGUACCGGAAUAGAAAGCCACGGCUAACUACGUGCCAGCAGCCGCGGUAAUUC